rnacentral:rRNA from 1 species
AUGCAAGAGGCAAAAAAAUCUAUGAAGGAAAAAGGUAUUAAGGUCGAGGAUGUUAAACACGUACCACCUAUUCAGGAAAUACAUGGGCUUGAAGCACCACCACCACCUAAGGUUGUAGAGGUAAAAUCUUUAAUGAAAUUCAAUGAUAGUGAUGAUCCUCGUAACAAACAUCCUAGUCAAUGCCUUUAUGAGUUUGAUAAUUACAUUACAAAGCAAGAUCACUUCAAUGCAAAUGUUAUGAAACAACUGAAAUACAACUCUGAUAUGAUUGCUCGCUUAAGUGACUUGUUAUUUAGAAUCUGA